CCCUCGAGCUGUAUGCGGAGAGAAAAAGGCCCGAGUUUUCUUCUGUGUUCUAGAAGCCUAUAUCGACUACAAGCUUCGUUCCAUUUUCGGUUUUGUUCUCGGAUACAGACGCGGCGUGAAACGGAGUUAUCAAGCGUAUCGAUCAAGCUCUCAGGUAUAAAGGUCGCUGGGGUAGCAGAGAGAAGGGGAGAGAUCUAAGAUUUUCGUCCAAGCUUCGGGUCGUUAGGGUGGCAAAAAGAAGGGGAGGGAUCGAAGAUUGUGGUCGACGUCCGGAGGAAGGUUGAAAAAGAGUGGGGGCGUUUCUCAGUUCGUGUAUAGUGUGUGCUUAAUCUAGAAGUUGUACAUAUUGAAGGAGCGGGGAUUUGCUUAAGAAUCAUAAGCAGUUGUGUCUUUGAAGGGCUGGUUGGAUAUCUCUGCGAGGUAGGCUUGGGUUCGUUUUGGAAGAGGUGUGUGCUGAGAUUGUGAUCGAGUUUAGGAGACGGGCUUUGGGAGCAAAAGAGGGUGCAGUGGAGAAACUUCGCCAAUGCUGCCUUGAAGAAAUUUGAGAUUACAAGCAUGGUGGAAAAGACCACUAAAGGUAGGAGAAUGAUGGAGGAAUUACAAAGAUACACUUUAAUUCAGUUAAGAAAAACAAAACCCCCGCAGCAUCGCGCGGGAAUGAUUAUCUAGUUUUAUAUACUAAAGUAAAAUGGGUUUGAUACUAUUCAUUCAAUAGUGACGGGACCAUUUUACCCUUGCAUUCUUUGGAAUUUUAUUAAACUAGAAUGUGUUUGGUACUAUUCAUUUAAUAGUAACCGGAUCAUUUUGGCCCUGCUUUCUUUGGAAAUUUACCUGAUUACUCUUGACAAGUGUCCGUCUUAUGUGUUACUAAGUUGUUUCAUAGG